GCAGGCCAGCCCUCUCCUACUAUGGAGUCACCUUGUUCUAUUUUAGAAGUCUUACUACAGACAUGUAUGUACAACUACUCUGUAAGAUCAAUAUUUUUGUUUAACAUGGUUUACCCACAUUAAAAGU